rnacentral:rRNA from 1 species
GUCCUACGGGGGGCAGCAGUGAGGAAUAUUGGUCAAUGGCCGGAAGGCCGAACCAGCCAAGUCGCGUGAGGGACGACUGCCCUAUGGGUUGUAAACCUCUUUUAUAAGGGAAGAAUAAAUGCUACGUGUAGCAUGAUGCCUGUACCUUAUGAAUAAGCAUCGGCUAACUCCGUGCCAGCAGCCGCGGUAAUACGGAGGAUGCGAGCGUUAUCCGGAUUUAUUGGGUUUAAAGGGUGCGUAGGCGGUUUUUUAAGUUAGUGGUUAAACGUCGGGGCUUCACCUCACUACGCCAUUAAUACUGUAGA